UACGUAGGUGACAAGCGUUGUCCGGAUUUACUGGGCGUAAAGAGCGCGCAGGCGGUCGAUCAAGUCGAGUGUGAAAGCCCCCGGCUCAACUGGGGAGGGUCAUUCGAUACUGAUCGACUCGAAGGCAGGAGAGGGUAGUGGAAUUCCCGGUGUAGUGGUGAAAUGCGUAGAUAUCGGGAGGAACACCAGUGGCGAAGGCGGCUUCCUGGCCUGUUCUUGACGCUGAGGCGCGAAAGCUAGGGUAGCAAACGGG
rnacentral:rRNA from 1 species